rfam:Schistosoma rodhaini strain Burundi genome assembly, scaffold: SROB_scaffold0000397
AUCUAGCUGACGAGUCCCAAAUAUGACGACACGCACGUCAAACUAGAU